rnacentral:rRNA from 1 species
AUUGGUGACUGAGUGGCGGACGGGUGAGUAACGCGUGGGUAACCUGCCCUGUACAGGGGGAUAACAGCUGGAAACGGCUGCUAAUACCGCAUAAGCGCACGAGGAGACAUCUCCUUGUGUGAAAAACUCCGGUGGUACAGGAUGGGCCCGCGUCUGAUUAGCUGGUUGGCAGGGUAACGGCCUACCAAGGCAACGAUCAGUAGCCGGUCUGAGAGGAUGAACGGCCACAUUGGAACUGAGACACGGUCCAAACUCCUACGGGAGGCAGCAGUGGGGAAUAUUGCACAAUGGGGGAAACCCUGAUGCAGCAACGCCGCGUGAGUGAAGAAGUAUUUCGGUAUGUAAAGCUCUAUCAGCAGGGAGGAUAAUGACGGUACCUGACUAAGAAGCUCCGGCUAAAUACGUGCCAGCAGCCGCGGUAAUACGUAUGGAGCAAGCGUUAUCCGGAUUUACUGGGUGUAAAGGGUGCGUAGGUGGCAGUGCAAGUCAGAUGUGAAAGGCCGGGGCUCAACCCCGGAGCUGCAUUUGAAACUGCAUAGCUAGAGUACAGGAGAGGCAGGCGGAAUUCCUAGUGUAGCGGUGAAAUGCGUAGAUAUUAGGAGGAACACCAGUGGCGAAGGCGGCCUGCUGGACUGUUACUGA